rnacentral:tRNA from 1 species
GCUUCCGUGGCUCAGUUGGUAGAGCAACGCAUUCGUAAUGCGUAGGUCGCCGGUUCGAGUCCGGCCGGGAGCUUA